GAGGCAUACUUAGUUAGGUGAACAAAGCAGAAAACAGAUACCGCUAUCGGAAUUAUUAAUUUAAUGACGUCUAACAUUGCAGUUGCGGAGACACAACUUCUACACUACGGAAAUGUAGAUCUGGAUUCGACACCGUGGCUAACUCAAACACAGUGUUUAUCUUUUUGUGAUUCAAAGCUGUCGACCUUUACUCUUUUUCCACGGAUGACUUUGAAACUGCUACAUAAAUGGUCCAUGGAAUUACGCUGGAAAAAAAAAGAAUGUUACAAAGACUGCCGCAGCACGUUAGAGAUGGGUUACCUAGGUUCCUCAAACUCAUGCGUUUACAAAUAUCAGUGAUUUCAACGAAAAUUAAAAAUUAGUUAAGUGCAUUCUAACAUAAAAGCUAAAAAGGACUCCAAUUCUAGUGGAGAAAUUCACAUUCCCAUCUGGUGAUUUUAAAGACAGAUAGUUCUUUGUUACACACUGAGCUGACUACAUAUACGUACACGGGAAUAGAGAUGACUGUCUCUAUACAUCUGUAGGGAAAGUUAACGCAUGUUAAAGAACCAGACUGUCUAUUCUCAGUAAUAAUAAUGAUAAUAACAGUAAUAAUAACGUGUAAUAAAAGAAUAUCAUCUAAACUCAUAAAUAAAAUUUCAGUUUUAUUUGAUGGUUGCAAUUUAAAAAGGCACCGUUGUUAAAUAAUCUUCUAUAAACAGCCGGCCUAUUGUUAGUGAACCGGUCUUUUCAAUACGAAACAUUUAAUUCUUUGGCUAUUGACAUAAUAAGUGUAAUCUUGUAAAAUGGCAAUGAUGUUGGUUAACACAUGUAUUUAUUGAAGCAUGGAAUGUUUAGUGUUUAAUCUACAACGAUAGGAUUUAAAUGAGCUGUGCCAUGAGAAAACCAACAAAGUGGCUUUGCAACCAGCAUGGAUCCAGACCAGCCUGUGCAUCAACAGUCUGAUCAGGGUCCAUGCUGUUCGCAUUCAAAGCCUAUAGCAAUUAGAGAAACCGUAAGCGAACAGCAUGGAUGCGCAGGCUGGUCUGGAUCCAUGCUGGUCGCAAACCCACUAUGUUGGUUUUCCCAUGGCGCGGCCCAAAUGAUAAAACAACAACAAAAAUGAUAAAAAGAUAAAGAAGUAUGCGGGGGACUAGCUAUAGAUCGCUAGAGGCAAAAAAUACCAUGUUUAAUGUACCCGAACGUAUAAAUCAUCUAUUAACAUUAUUAAGCACCGUAUCACUAGAUGACUUUUCACAUGAUACCCAGGAGUAAUAAAUAACUAAUGACCCUAGUUCAUAAAACAAACUGACCGAUAUCUUUCGAUCAGGCUUUUUAUUCCCGCAAACUAAAAAAUAGAUUUGAAAAGUAUUAGUUGUUUUUUGUUUUGUGUUUUUUUUAUCAAAGAACAAUUAUUCAGCAUGUAAUUUAUCGGAUCGUCAAGUUUUCAA